UGACAGCACAGCUAUUUCCAUGUUAAAAUAUUAUGGGAUGCAUUUUCCCCAUUGUUUUUGAUGGUAGGCCACUCUGAUAGGUCUAGAUUAUGAUCAAGUAGCCAUAGUAGCCUACUUGUCCACAGUAAAACUGUAACUUAAAGCAGCUACAGCCUCAGUGUUCACAGUAAAACUGUAACAUAAAGCAGGUACAGCCUCAGUGUUCACAGUAAAGCAGGUACAGCCUCCGUGUUCACAGUAAAGCAGGUACAGCCUCAGUGUUCACAGUAAAGCAGGUACAGCCUCAGUGUUCACAGUAAAGCAGGUACAGCCUCAGUGUUCACAGUAAAGCAGGUACAGCCUCAGUGUUCACAGUAAAACUGUAACUUAAAGCAGGUACAGCCUCAGUGUUCACAGUAAAGCAGGUACAGCCUCAGUGUUCACAGUAAAGCAGGUACAGCCUCAGUGUUCACAGUAAAGCAGGUACAGCCUCAGUGUUCACAGUAAAGCAGGUACAGCC
ensembl:lncRNA